GAGGGUAUAUCUCUGUGGUAGAGCACAUGCUUAGCAUGCACAAGGUCCUGGGUUCAUUUCCCAGUGCCUCCA
rnacentral:tRNA from 1 species